rnacentral:lncRNA from 1 species
GAAAGGGAUAUGAAUGUAUUUGCACAUACUACAAGCAAACACUCACUGGAGGUACUUGACACUUCAGACUUUUCCCUGUUUAUGGGUACGGACAUUAUAGUGACAGCUCAGAUGACAGUACACAAGGUAACUUUGUAAAUAUAGACUCUUGAAAGCAAAUUGCUACUUACUGGAAGUAACACUGCUGAAAGAGGAAGAGGGUGAAAGACAGGUCAUUUCUUGAAAAAUGGUACAGGAAAUGUUUGGUCUCAGCAGAUAAUUUAAUUGCAUGGUCCAGUCUGUACCGUUGUUUCAGGCCAAAUGGAAAAUAAGGUAAAGACAUUUUUUCCCUCCUAUUCUUUGUUUUAUUAUUAUUAUUAUAAUAAAUUGCAUAUAUUUAUUCUGCAGAGAUAUAUUUGAGCAGAACUCUUUGACCCUCACUAGAAAACUGGAAACAGCCUUCCUUCAUGCAUAUCCAAGGGCUCCAGAAACAGAAAAGAUUGUGACCAUGGCUUGCAAGGAGGACUUCAGUUCAACUGAGUGCAACAGAAGUACAAAGGAGGAGUAUGGCAAAACCAAAGGACGAAGGAUCUAUCCACCGAAAGUGAAAGACUGCACGAGUGUCAGAGCUUCCUUUCCUUUGUACUGCCGUGCUGACACAUAG